rnacentral:rRNA from 1 species
UACGGAGGAUGCGAGCGUUAUCCGGAUUUAUUGGGUUUAAAGGGUGCGCAGGCGGAAUGUCAAGUCAGCGGUAAAAUUUCGGGGCUCAACCCUGUCGAGCCGUCGGAACUGGCAGUCUUGAGUGGGCGAGAAGUAUGCGGAAUGCGUGGUGUAGCGGUGAAAUGCUUAGAUAUCACGAAGAACCCCGAUUGCGAAGGCAGCCUGCCGCAGCGUUACUGACGCUGAAGCACGAAAGCGUGGGUAUCGAACAGG